rnacentral:rRNA from 1 species
GACGAACGCUGGCGGCGUGCUUAACACAUGCAAGUCGUACGGUAAGGCCCUUUCGGGGGUGCACGAGUGGCGAACGGGUGAGUAACACGUGAGUAACCUGCCCACAACUUUGGGAUAACGCUAGUAAACUGGUGCGAAUACUGGAUAUGUGCUCCUGCUGCAUGGUGGGGGUUGGAAAGCUCCGGCGGUUGUGGAUGGACUGGCGGCCUAUCGGCUUGUUGGUGGGGUAGUGGCCUACCAAGGCGGCGACGGGUAGCCGGCCUGAGAGGGUGACCGGCCACAUUGGGACUGGGAUACGGCCCAGACUCCGACGGGAGGCAGCAGGGGGGAAUAUUGCACAAUGGGCGCAAGCCUGAUGCAGCAACGCCGCGUGCGGGAUGACGGCCUUCGGGUUGGAAACCGCUUUCAGCAGGGACGAAGCUUUUUGUGACGGUACCUGCAGAAGAAGCACCGGCUAACUACGUG